rnacentral:rRNA from 1 species
CCUACGUGUGACAGCAGUGAGGAAUAUUGGUCAAUGGGCGCGAGCCUGAACUAGCCAAGUAGCGUGAAGGAUGACUGCCCUACGGGUUGUAAACUUCUUUUAUAAAGGAAUAAAGUGAGGCACGUGUGCCUUUUUGUAUGUACUUUAUGAAUAAGGAUCGGCUAACUCCGUGCCAGCAGCCGCGGUAAUACGGAGGAUCCGAGCGUUAUCCGGAUUUAUUGGGUUUAAAGGGAGCGUAGAUGGGUUGUUAAGUCAGUUGUGAAAGUUUGCGGCUCAACCGUAAAAUUGCAAUUGAUACUGGCAGUCUUGAGUACAGUUGAGGUAGGCGGAAUUCGUGGUGUAGCGGUGAAAUGCUUAGAUAUCACGAAGAACUCCGAUUGCGAAGGCAGCUUACUAAACUGCCACUGACAUUGAUGCUCGAGAGUGUGGGUGUCAAACAGGAUUAGAUACCCGAGUAGUC